AAUUUUUUGGAUUACGGGGACCUGGAAUAACCCAACUUAGAAAGAUGUAGGGACUGGUCAUGCACAUUUCAGGAGGAAGAUUAUACGGAGUAAGAAAUACCGGCCAACAUGAAUAAGGCGAAGCAUUAUUAGAGAAUGGUGUGAAGCCAUCUGAACACAACCCCAAUCUAACAUUUCUUGGUUCACUAGCAAAAUCAGGAUAUACAUUAUCAAAAUGCUUCCAUGCUUCACCAUCAGAUGGAUGAGACAAGACACCCGGCGGCCUUCUAUAUUCACGAUGCCAUCUCAUAUGUGGGGCA
rnacentral:lncRNA from 1 species